UACGUAGGGUGCAAAGCGUUGUCCGGAAUUAUUGGGCGUAAAGCGCGCGUAGGCGGUUACUCAAGUCGGAUGUGAAAGCCCUCGGCUUAACUGAGGAAGUGCACCCGAAACUGAGUAGCUAGAGUACUAAAGAGGGUCGCGGAAUUCCCGGUGUAGAGGUGAAAUUCGUAGAUAUCGGGAGGAACACCGGUGGCGAAGGCGGCGACCUGGGUAGAUACGUGACGCUGAGGUGCGAAAGCGUGGGGAGCAAACAGG
rnacentral:rRNA from 1 species